CGGGGGCGGGCGGCGCGAGCGGCGGAGGCGGCCGGCGGGAACCGGGAACAGCACAGUGGUUUCCUGAAGGCAUGAUCAGGAGUUGGAGCCCGGUGGUGGGAAGCACCGACAGUGUCGCUGCUAUGCCCAAGGGAUACAGGCACGUCAGCCGGCUGGACACCGCAGCCUGGGAAACACUUCGAUGUGGGUCAGCGCCAGCUUUGUGAAAUAGCAGCCUAUUUUUAGAUUCAGAUUGUCUGAAACUAUUCUAAUUGUAUGUAACUAGUUAAGUCUCUCUACGGGAUGUUAUUGUAUUGUUACAGAUUACAAAAGCCUGCAGAAGUUGUUUUUUGAUCUAAAAAAUAAACAACUCAAUUCCAAGUCUCGUUAGUGAGUAUUGGCUUGUACAAAGGUAUGGCUGGUUUGUGGUUUCAUCCAAAUGUCCUGGUUUUACCUAAUCUCUAUAAACUAGAAGUGUUCAUGGUCACUGACUUGUAAGAGGUGUGUUACUCAGAACAUGACUAUAUUACCUUUUACUCCGCCUGGCUUCACGUGGCCAUAAGACCAUGUCUGUGCUCGCAUAAUGUACUCAGCUUUUCUGGGCUAUAAAUAGAUCUGGGUUAUAUUUAUUUACAUUGCGGUUUGUGUUUACUGGCUUAGGACACGUGUCUGGGGUGAACUUGCAGCUGUUUCCACUUCUCCAUAUAAAAGUUCUUGAAAAUGUACUUAGAAUGCUGUAAAAUGAGAAGAUGAUCCCAAGGUUAAUGGCCGCUUGGAAUAUUGUUUAUUUGUUGGGUUUGCAAUGUUAGGAAGGUUUUGAGGAAAAAAGAAAUAAAGUCAACACAUCUUCUCUCAUUAAUAAAGCUUGAGGAAUUUGCUCUGCAGAGAGUUCUGAGAUUAAACAGCUCUUUAUGUACUUUAAGCCACGCUGUUUUGUUUUUGUGUUUGUGUUGUUUGUUUUUUUCUCCCUCCAACAAUACACGCUUUUGUUUACUGUUUCACUGCACGUUGAACUGAUCAGGAUUUUAAGAUCAGUUAUUUUGUGCUGCAACAUCCUUGCAGUGCCAUAGCACAGUAGUUUACACUGAAAAUAAGUCACUGGCAGUUUCUUUGAAAUGAUAUAAGAAAAAAGAAUUUAGGUCAGGAAACUUUUAAUCUAAAAGGAUUUUCUCCUUUUUGAGGAAAGACUCUUAGUGUACUUUUAACUGUUUAUUAUUAAUUUUUAUUAUGACAGUCCCUAUCUGGCCCCCCUAGUGAUUAAUUAUGUGGUACUGAUUGUCACUUAAGAUGCAGUUCCUGUGUUUUAUGAUCUGAGAUGACAAAAGAUGCUUGGGAGUGUUAGAGACAGGUAGACUCCAAAGGUCUCUUAUUUCGUAUAACAGAGCAGAGUAAGAGAUGUUUAUAGGGGAGAGAGACAAAAGUGCAUAGUUACAAGGUGCCAACUAGGGAACUUAUGAAACAAAGUGGAUUGAGAAAACAGAAGGAGAUGAGGCUCCUAAAGAACUU